rnacentral:rRNA from 1 species
UGAAAAUUAUUUGUCACCUGUCUGCGUGAUGACGGGUAACGGGGAUCAGGGUUCGAUUCCGGAGAGGGAGCCUGAGAAACGGCUACCACAUCCAAGGAAGGCAGCAGGCGCGCAAAUUACCCAAUCCAGACAUUGGGAGGUAGUGACGAGAAAUACUGGGGGCGCCCCAAGUGGGUGCCGUCCGGAAUGAACGUAAUAUAAAAAAUUCGAUGAGGAUCUACUGGAGGGCAAGUCUGGUGCCAGCAGCCGCGGUAAUUCCAGCUCCAGUAGUGUAUAUCAACAUUGUUGCGCUUAAAACGCUCGUAGUUGGAUUACAGAGCCUCAAACUACUGCAUCAUACUGUAAGGUUGGCGGUUGGCUCGGUGUGGACACCAAGAAAUUGGCAGUCGGAAGCCGAAUGAGGUUCUUUCAUCGCACUGACCCUGGUCGACUUCUUUACUGGUGAAGGCCAGACGUCGGUGGAGUGUGCCUUGAAUAAAGCAUAGUGCUCAAAGCAGGCGUACGCUCGUGUGUAAUAGCAUGGAACGAAUAAAUUGGCCGGCAGCCGGUGCGAGUGUUUAAUUAGUUUUGAAUGCGGCCGGCUGCUUGGACUCGAUCAGUGUUGGUUGGAGUCACGGUCUCAACGGUUAACAGGGACACCUGAGGGCACUAGUACUUUGUGGCGAGAGGUGAAAUUCUUAGACCCACAAAAGACUAACUACUGCGAAAGCAUUUGUCAAGAGUGUUUUCAUUAAUCAAGAACGAAGGUCAGAGGAUCGAAGACGAUCAGAUACCGUCCUAGUUUUGACAGCAAACUAUGCCAGCAUAGGGUUGGAGCGGUCGCCGGUUAACAUCCGGAUGAACCACUGCAGGCCUUAAGGGAAACCUAGCUUUCGGGCUGCUGGGAGAAUAUCGCUGCAAGGCUGAAAUUUAAAGAAAUUGACGGAGAAGCACCACCAGGAGUGGAGCCUGCGGCUUAAUUUGACUCAACACGGGGAAACUCACCAGGUCCAGACAUUGGUAGGAUUGACAGACUGGUAGAUCUUUCAUGAUUCAGUGAAUGGUGGUGCAUGGCCGUUCUUAGUUGGUGGAGUGAUCUGUCAGGUCUAUUCCGGUAACGAGCGAAACCACGGCCUUUAGGUUGUAGCAGCACGGUCGCCUCAUUUGCGCCUGUGCCUGGUCUAACUAGAGGGACAAUUGGUGUUUAAGCCAGGGGAAGCGUGGCAAUAACAGCUCUGUGAUGCCCUACGAUGUCCUGGGCUGCAAGCGCGCUACAAUGGCAGCAGUGAGAGAGGGUUGCUCGCAUAGAGAUAGCGUGGCGAAACUGUAAAUGGCUGUCGUGAUUGGGAUUGAGCCUUGUAAUUAUUGCUCAUGAAAGUGGAAUUCCUCGUAAGCACAAGUCAUCAGCUUGUGUUGAAUACGUCUCUGCCUCUUGUACACACCGCCCGUCGCUACUACCGAUUGAAUUGUAUCCAAAGCUGGCUGGACCGGACUAGUGGCUGUGAAAACGGUCGCAAGCUGGGAG